GGGGGUAUAGCUCAGCUGGGAGAGCAGCAGACUGAAGCACAAUGAUGUUUAAUUCUGAAGGUCCCGCGUUCGAUCCGCGGUACCCCCA